rnacentral:antisense_RNA from 1 species
CUUCAACGAGCCCAGCCACAGCGGCCGGUCGGCCGGGCGGUUCUGCCCGUAGGUGGCGAGGAUGGCGGUCGCCUC